UCUUCCCUUGUGGCCGGUGUACAGGUGGUGCAUGGUUGUCGUCAGCUCGUGUCGUGAGAUGUUGGGUUAAGUCCCGCAACGAGCGCAACCCUUGUCUUAUGUUGCCAGCACGUGAUGGUGGGGACUCAUGAGAGACUGCCGGGGUCAACUCGGAGGAAGGUGGGGAUGACGUCAAAUCAUCAUGCCCCUUAUGUCCAGGGCUUCACACAUGCUACAAUGGUCGGUACAGCAGGUCGCGAACUCGUGAGAGUAAGCCAAUCCUUCAAAGCCGGCCUCAGUUCGGAUUGGGGUCUGCAACUCGACCCCAUGAAGUCGGAGUCGCUAGUAAUCGCAGAUCAGCAACGCUGCGGUGAAUACGUUCCCGGGCCUUGUACACACCG
rnacentral:rRNA from 1 species